UGCAUAUCCAAAAAGCGGAGGAAAAGAAACCAACCGGGAUUGCCUUAGUAACGGCGAGUGAAGCGGCAAAAGCUCAAAUUUGAAAUCUGGUACCUUCGGUGCCCGAGUUGUAAUUUGGAGAGGGCAACUUUGGGGCCGUUCCUUGUCUAUGUUCCUUGGAACAGGACGUCAUAGAGGGUGAGAAUCCCGUGUGGCGAGGAGUGCGGUUCUUUGUAAAGUGCCUUCGAAGAGUCGAGUUGUUUGGGAAUGCAGCUCUAAGUGGGUGGUAAAUUCCAUCUAAAGCUAAAUAUUGGCGAGAGACCGAUAGCGAACAAGUACAGUGAUGGAAAGAUGAAAAGAACUUUGAAAAGAGAGUGAAAAAGUACGUGAAAUUGUUGAAAGGGAAGGGCAUUUGAUCAGACAUGGUGUUUUGUGCCCUCUGCUCCUUGUGGGUAGGGGAAUCUCGCAUUUCACUGGGCCAGCAUCAGUUUUGGUGGCAGGAUAAAUCCAUAGGAAUGUAGCUUGCCUCGGUAAGUAUUAUAGCCUGUGGGAAUACUGCCAGCUGGGACUGAGGACUGCGACGUAAGUCAAGGAUGCUGGCAUAAUGGUUAUAUGCCGCCCGUCUUGAAACACGGACC
rnacentral:rRNA from 1 species